rnacentral:rRNA from 1 species
UAAUGUAUGGGGAUCUGCCCGAUAGAGGGGAGUAAUACUGGAAACGGUGGCUAAUACCGCAUAAUGUCUACGGACCAAAGCAGGGGCUCUUCGGACCUUGCACUAUCGGAUGAACCCAUAUGGGAUUAGCUAGUAGGUGGGGUAAAGGCUCACCUAGGCGACGAUCUCUAGCUGGUCUGAGAGGAUGAUCAGCCACACUGGGACUGAGACACGGCCCAG